GAGUUUGAUCCUGGCUCAGGACGAACGCUGGCGGCGUGCUUAACACAUGCAAGUCGAACGGAAAGGCCCUUCGGGGUACUCGAGUGGCGAACGGGUGAGUAACACGUGGGUGAUCUGCCCUGCACUUUGGGAUAAGCCUGGGAAACUGGGUCUAAUACCGAAUAGGACCGCGCGCUUCAUGGUGUGUGGUGGAAAGCUUUUGCGGUGUGGGAUGGGCCCGCGGCCUAUCAGCUUGUUGGUGGGGUAAUGGCCUACCAAGGCGACGACGGGUAGCCGGCCUGAGAGGGUGACCGGCCACACUGGGACUGAGAUACGGCCCAGACUCCUACGGGAGGCAGCAGUGGGGAAUAUUGCACAAUGGGCGCAAGCCUGAUGCAGCGACGCCGCGUGAGGGAUGACGGCCUUCGGGUUGUAAACCUCUUUCACCAGGGACGAAGCGCAAGUGACGGUACCUGGAGAAGAAGCACCGGCCAACUACGUGCCAGCAGCCGCGGUAAUACGUAGGGUGCGAGCGUUGUCCGGAAUUACUGGGCGUAAAGAGCUCGUAGGUGGUUUGUCGCGUUGUUCGUGAAAACUCACAGCUUAACUGUGGGCGUGCGGGCGAUACGGGCAGACUAGAGUACUGCAGGGGAGACUGGAAUUCCUGGUGUAGCGGUGGAAUGCGCAGAUAUCAGGAGGAACACCGGUGGCGAAGGCGGGUCUCUGGGCAGUAACUGACGCUGAGGAGCGAAAGCGUGGGGAGCGAACAGGAUUAGAUACCCUGGUAGUC
rnacentral:rRNA from 1 species